UACGUAGGUGGCAAGCGUUGUCCGGAUUUACUGGGCGUAAAGGGUGCGCAGGCGGCCAAGUGUGUGAGGCGUGAAAGCCUGGGGCUUAACUCCAGAAUUGCACCUCAAACUACAUGGCUAGAGUCUCGGAGAGGAUCGUGGAAUUCUCGGUGUAGAGGUGAAAUUCGUAGAUAUCGAGAGGAACACCGGUGGCGAAGGCGGCGAUCUGGACGAUGACUGACGCUGAGACGCGAAAAGCGUGGGGAGCAAACAGG
rnacentral:rRNA from 1 species